CGAGAGACUGGCUGUAUGUGGUCGGGCGUUGUCCUGCUGUAACAAAACACAUGAAAGGAGAAGUCCUCGCCAUUUACUCCUGAUUGCUGGUCGAAAAUGAUUUUCCAAGAGAUUUGGAUAAGAAUUAAUGUUUACUGUCAUUCCCCUGUCAAUGUAAUGCUCCAAAAUUACAUUGUUCACAUCACAGAAGAGAGUCAGCAAGAGUUUUCCUGUUGAUCGCUGAUUUCGGAGGUUUUUUUUUAUUUUGGCGAUGAGCUAUGGCACCAUUCCUUUUCGUGUAUCUGGUUGAUGACAAUGUUUGUUUCUGGACAAACAUGAAUCACCAUAUGUACUGUCAUCCUGCUAUGAAUUACCAUUGGUUUGACACCUUCACUGCUCAAGAAACGAGUGACUGAUCGCUGAUCUAAUGCGGUGCAUAUUGAUAAUGGGGCGGCCAUAUUGUAACUGAAGUCACUGCUAAUUGUAUGUAGCAAGGUCACUAACGUACCUAGUAGUCAUUGUGUAAGCUUCAACGAACAUCCCUGCCAACUACCGGAUCGAUCCUAUAACUUAUCGAAACUUUACAACACUUUUAAUGUUUUCAUUUGAUUCACCCUCUUAGUAAUAAAAAAUUUACAAUAAAAAUAACACACUGAACUUACUGACUAUUCAAGUCACGUGACCGGGAAGUGGCAGUUAGUAGGGAGAGCAUGAUGUUUUAUGCAAGCCCUGACGAUAACGCAAGACAUUCACGGCCAAGUAACGCGCGAUAUUUUUCGCUUUAUUUCGCUUUAUCGACGCGGCAACAGCUUUUUCAUUAAAUUGACUGACAGAAAUGCUCCUUUUUGAAUUGCGCGUCGAUAUACGUGUAAGGUUUUUUGAAAUUAUUUUGCAUUCCAAGGAUAAUAUGAUAGGAAUAGGAAUUUUCUCCUUAAUUCAAUACUAAUAUUAAAUUAUUUAUUGCUUAAUCAAUGUAUAUAAAAAUAAGAGGUAGAAUUAUUGUGUCGUUUUUGUCGUCAACUUGCAGUGAUGAGUAAUAAUUCAUCAGUGACCCUCAACUAUGGUUAUCAUAUUAUUCAUCUACAGUAGAAGUAACCUUGCUGAUAAUAUGCGUAAUAAUAUCGAGCUGGCUGGUUCAGGUCUGGUUCUGCUCGCACCUGAUCAAUUUCAGGGACUCUGACAUGACAUGACCUCAUGACUGGUUUUGGGCAGCAGGGAUCGACGACUUAACGUGUCCAUCCGAAAAAGGCAACCACCGCCCUAGAGCCAGUGGGCAGCCGAGCGACGACCCUGUCACAGUAGUCAAGUGCCCCCUGUAGCUGUCGUCGUCCCCAGGGGCCCGCGAGAUGGAUGGAGGCGGUGGGAAUGCGAAAUGAAUAACAGACGCCCGGUGAUGGUGAGAAUACAGAUGCUGGACUGAUGAACGUGCCAACUCCACUGAUACCUCACCAUAUUAUUUGUUUUACAUAGAGCAAUCCAAUAUUUUUUAUACACUUAUGAAGUGUUUUAUCAAUAAACAUAAUAAAUAAUAAGUGUAUUUGAACAAACGAAAUUAACACUUGAAAAGUAAUGUUGUCUGUUUAUGUAAAGAGUUUGUCACAUUUUAUACUCUGAAAUUGUUUUAUAUAAUUUCAUUAUAAUUCUCAUAAUGUGCAAUAGAUUGCAUAAAAUUGUUAUUAAAAACUCUAUUUACUAAA